GUCUGGAUGGUGUAGUUGGUCAUCACGCUAGUCUCACACACUAGAGGUCCCCAGUUCGAACCUGGGUUCAGACA
rnacentral:tRNA from 1 species